AGUCAUCAUAUUCCAGUAUUCAGAAGUUGGUUAUAAGUCAUUUGCAGAGUGGCUCAGAGUCUUUAUUGUAUCAUUUGAGUGAACUGAAAGGAAUGGCUUCAUGGAA